rnacentral:sRNA from 1 species
UUUUCGUCUGUCAAAAAGAGGAUGAGGACCUCCGAAGGAGGUUUGAGCCGAGCGUAGCGAGACAACGUUGCUUCAGCAACGGCCCGUAGGGCAAGGUAAUCCUCUCUCGCCGACCA